rnacentral:rRNA from 1 species
CGGACUGGUGAGUAACGCGUGAGGAACCUGCCUUUCGGAGGGGGACAACAGUUGGAAACGUCUGCUAAUACCGCAUGACGUAUCGGGAUCGCAUGGUCUUGAUACCAAAGAUUUUAUCGCCGAAAGAUGGCCUCGCGUCUGAUUAGCUAGUUGGUGGGGUAACGGCCUACCAAGGCGACGAUCAGUAGCCGGACUGAGAGGUUGGCCGGCCACAUUGGGACUGAGAUACGGCCCAGACUCCUACGGGAGGCAGCAG